rnacentral:rRNA from 1 species
UGGGGAAUAUUGCACAAUGGGCGAAAGCCUGAUGCAGCGACGCCGCGUGUGGGAUGAAGGCCUUCGGGUUGUAAACCACUGUCACUCGUUAAGAAGAGGUUGGGGGUUAACAGCCUCCAGCAUUGACGAAGGCGAGAGAGGAAGCCACGGCUAACUUCGUGCCAGCAGCCGCGGUAAGACGAAGGUGGCGAGCGUUGUUCGGAAUCACUGGGCAUAAAGCGCACGUAGGCGGUGUCGUAAGUCGGAUGUGAAAUCCCUCGGCCUAACCGAGGAACUGCGUCCGAUACUGCGAUGCUUGAGGACCAGAGGGGUGCAUGGAAUUUCCGGUGGAGCGGUGAAAUGCGUUGAUAUCGGAAGGAACUCCGGCGGCGAAAGCGAUGCACUGGCUGGUUUCUGACGCUGAGGUGCGAAAGCCAGGGGAGCAAA